rnacentral:lncRNA from 1 species
UCCCCAAUUCCCACUAAAAUUUAACCUAAUUCGCGUCAAUUUUUUAGUUUUUUUUUUUUAUAAUUUGGUGCUUAAUUUAGGGUGGUGAAGGGGUUUAUGCUAGUGCAUUCGGUGGGUUUCUUCCCCUCUCGGCCACACAGGUUUUCUUUUUCUUUUUUUUUCCAUUAAUCCCCCAAUUGCGCAUUCUAAUGUUGCAUUGCUCCAUUUGCUCUUAAGCUCUUUAUUGAGUUUUAUUUUGGCCAUUAAUUUUUAAAUCGUAUCAUCUAAUGCUCAUGAAUUUGCAUAAAUUAUUGAUUCAUGGUGAAUCAAAGCAUUCUCUUACUUUAUAAGGCUUUUUGUCCAUUGAUGAUCUUUAGAGUGAUCUCAACAUAUGCAUCAGAAAUGUUAAGAUUGAACCAUAUGGCCAAUUUUGGAGUGGUAUUAAUAACUGACGUAUACUCUUUUCCAGGCAAAAUUUAUUGCUUUGCUGGUCUUGAUUUCAUGGGCUGUAGACUUUGUGGUUCAUGACUAUAUUCUCAUGCCUUUUUUAGAUAGGUACUACUUUGAUGUCACCGAUUGUUUCUAGAGCAAGUGGCAAAGAACUUGGUGGUUGGUAUCCGAGAUCUAAGUUCGAAUUUUAGUUGAUUCACAUUUCUAGCUAAGUUUAUUUCUAAAUGAAAUAAACGAAGCGUGUAGCGUAUUAUCUAUCUCUCAAAAAAAAAAUUUACUUUGAUGCCUAUUAGUAUGAGAUGUAUAUUUUUUAUGCUAUCAUUUUGCAACACACCUACUGUGCUUUUCUGGAUGUUCAGAAUUUUCAAUAUCUUUAGAGAGAACAAUAAGCUGUAGGAAAGAAAAAGGAAAAAAAAUAAUCUGUAGGACUUUGUUAAAUAUUUGAUGCGGUCCUUUGUGAUAAUUCUAUUUAGCGUUAAGCUACCUAAUUAUUAGCCGUUGUCUGUUGCUUUGUUAUAAAAUUUUUAUUUCCUUACAAUCAUACCAACAAACAUCAAAUAAAUGCUAAUAUGCAGUUUAUAUGAAAAAUGAAAAAAGAAUAUCUCUAUAUUUGUUAUGAAAUAAUGAAUGACACUCAAGCAAUUUUUUUUUUUUUUAGGAUCGCUGACUAAAUUUUUUUAUUUUAGCAUUUGUGAACUAUUAUAUCAAAAAAAUUUAUUUAUAUAUUAUAAGAUUUAUAAUUAAAUAUUUGCGUCAAAAUUAUCCGCGGUGAAGCGCGGGUACUACACUCGUAUUGAUUAUUGAAUACACACAUUACA